rnacentral:rRNA from 1 species
UACGUAGGGGGCUAGCGUUGCUCGGAAUUACUGGGCGUAAAGGGCGCGUAGGCGGCACUGUUAGUCAGGCGUGAAAGUCCUGGGCUCAACCUGGGAACUGCGCUUGAUACGGCAGAGCUAGAGGAUGGAAGAGGGUCGCGGAAUUCCCAGUGUAGAGGUGAAAUUCGUAGAUAUUGGGAAGAACACCGGUGGCUAAGGCGGCUCUCUAGUACGGUACUGACGCUGAGACGCGAAAGCGUGGGGAGCGAACAGG